CGAUAUCAAUAAGCGGAGGAAAAGAAAAUAACAAUGAUUCCUUUAGUAACUGCGAGUGAAGAAGGAGAAGCUCAAAUUUUAAAUCUGUUAGGUUUACCUAACCGAGUUGUAAUUUGAAGAAGCGUUUUCUGCGUAGUUUGGUCAGCCUAAGUCCUAUUGAAUGAGGCAUCAUGGAGGGUGAUAAUCCCGUUCGGUUGAUCAUUGCGUUUUACGAUACGCUUUCAAAGAGUCAAGUUGUUUGGGAUUGCAGCUUAAAAUGGGAGGUAAAUUUCUCCUAAGGCUAAAUAACGGCGAGAGACCGAUAGCGAACAAGUACCGUGAGGGAAAGAUGAAAAGAACUUUGAAAAGAGAGUUAAAUAGUACGUGAAAUUGUUGAAAGGGAAACGAUUGAAGCCAGUCGUACUUGCGGGCAAUCAGCCUUUUGGGUGUGAUUAUGUGGGGCGUGAGGAGUUAAUCACCCUCAUCUUUGCAUAUUCGUGCACUUUGGGUGUACUUGCUCGUGUGGUAGGUUAACAUCAAUUUUGGUCAUCAUAAAAUGGCUGGAGGAAUGUAGCUUCGAUCUCGUAUUGAAGUGUUAUAGCCUUUGGUAGACGUGAUGAUUGGGAUUGAGGAUUGCAACGGAUACCCUUCGGGCUACCUGUCUGAUCUCUGGAAGUUGCUCUGGUGCUGAAAGCUUGCUUAUGGUAUCAAAGUUGACGUCUAAAAGGUUAGAAUGGGUUAAAUUCGUUAAGGAUGUUGACGUA
rnacentral:rRNA from 1 species